GCCCCCAUGCUGUGCCUGACACACUUGAUAUGGCAAAAACCAGGACAGCCUUUCUCACGUUGUCCAGCUGUGCCAACAAUUUCACUUCCAAGCAGAGGUUGAGGAACAUUGAGGUCCUUUGCACUUUUUGGUUAUAUGAUGAUCAACAAUGCUGCUAUGAAUAUUUGCCUAUUUUAGGAAUGGGCAGAAGCUGGAAACAUUCC
rnacentral:lncRNA from 1 species